rnacentral:rRNA from 1 species
UACGGAGGGUGCAAGCGUUAUCCGGAUUCACUGGGUUUAAAGGGUGCGUAGGUGGGUUGAUAAGUCAGUGGUGAAAUCCCCGAGCUUAACUUGGGAACUGCCAUUGAUACUAUUGAUCUUGAAUACCGUGGAGGUCAGCGGAAUAUGUCAUGUAGCGGUGAAAUGCUUAGAUAUGACAUAGAACACCAAUUGCGAAGGCAGCUGGCUACGCGAAUAUUGACACUGAUGCACGAAAGCGUGGGGAGCAAACAGGG